rnacentral:rRNA from 1 species
AUGAACGCUAGCUACAGGCUUAACACAUGCAAGUCGAGGGGCAGCAUGGUCGAAGCUUGCUUCGACUGAUGGCGACCGGCGCACGGGUGCGUAACGCGUAUCGAACCUGCCCUGUACACGGGGAUAGCCUUGCGAAAGUAAGAUUAAUACCCGAUGCCAAGUUGAGAUCGCAUGAUUUUGAUUUGAAAGAAAUUCGGUAUGAGAUGGGCCCGCGGCGCAUUAGCUAGUUGGUGAGGUAACGGCUCACCAAGGCGACGAUGCGUAGCCGACCUGAGAGGGUGAUCGGCCACAUUGGGACUGAGACACGGCCCAGACUCCUACGGGAGGCAGCAGUGGGGAAUAUUGGUCAAUGGGCGAGAGCCUGAACCAGCCAAGUAGCGUGCAGGACGACGGCCCUAUGGGUUGUAAACUGCUUUUAUAAGGGAAUAAAGUGAGUCUCGUGAGACUUUUUGCAUGUACCUUAUGAAUAAGGACCGGCUAAUUCCGUG